rnacentral:rRNA from 1 species
CCUACGGGAGGCAGCAGUGGGGAAUAUUGGACAAUGGGCGAAAGCCUGAUCCAGCAAUGCCGCGUGAGUGAUGAAGGCCUUAGGGUUGUAAAGCUCUUUUACCAGGGAUGAUAAUGACAGUACCUGGAGAAUAAGCUCCGGCUAACUCCGUGCCAGCAGCCGCGGUAAUACGGAGGGAGCUAGCGUUGUUCGGAAUUACUGGGCGUAAAGCGUACGUAGGCGGUUAUUCAAGUCAGAGGUGAAAGCCUGGAGCUCAACUCCAGAACUGCCUUUGAAACUAGAUAACUAGAAUCACGGAGAGGUGAGUGGAAUUCCGAGUGUAGAGGUGAAAUUCGUAGAUAUUCGGAAGAACACCAGUGGCGAAGGCGGCUCACUGGACGUGUAUUGACGCUGAGGUACGAAAGCGUGGGGAGCAAACAGGAUUAGAUACCCUGGUAGUCCACGCCGUAAACGAUGAUAACUAGCUGCCAGGGCUCUUAGAGCUUUGGUGGCGCAGCUAACGCAUUAAGUUAUCCGCCUGGGGAGUACGGUCGCAAGAUUAAAACUCAAAAGAGUAGUAGGACGUGAGAGUGCGACGAGACACAGGGAGGUAGG